GGGGAAUAUUGGACAAUGGGGGCAACCCUGAUCCAGCCAUGCCGCGUGUGUGAAGAAGGCCUUCGGGUUGUAAAGCACUUUCAGUGGUGAGGAAGGGUGUGUUGUUAAUAGCAACAUACAUUGACGUUAGCCACAGAAGAAGCACCGGCUAACUCCGUGCCGGCAGCCGCGGUAAUACGGAGGGUGCGAGCGUUAAUCGGAAUUACUGGGCGUAAAGCGCACGUAGGCGGUUUGUUAAGCAAGAUGUGAAAGCCCCGGGCUCAACCUGGGAAUAGCAUUUUGAACUGGCAAGCUAGAGUUUUGAAGAGGGUGGUAGAAUUUCUUGUGUAGUGGUGAAAUGCGUAGAUAUAGGAAGGAAUACCAGUGGCGAAGGCGGCCACCUGGUCAAAAACUGACGCUGAGGAGCGAAAGCGUGGGGAGCAAAC
rnacentral:rRNA from 1 species